rnacentral:rRNA from 2 species
UCAGGACGAACGCUGGCGGCGUGCCUAAUACAUGCAAGUCGAACGAACUCUGGUAUUGAUUGGUGCUUGCAUCAUGAUUUACAUUUGAGUGAGUGGCGAACUGGUGAGUAACACGUGGGAAACCUGCCCAGAAGCGGGGGAUAACACCUGGAAACAGAUGCUAAUACCGCAUAACAACUUGGACCGCAUGGUCCGAGUUUGAAAGAUGGCUUCGGCUAUCACUUUUGGAUGGUCCCGCGGCGUAUUAGCUAGAUGGUGGGGUAACGGCUCACCAUGGCAAUGAUACGUAGCCGACCUGAGAGGGUAAUCGGCCACAUUGGGACUGAGACACGGCCCAAACUCCUACGGGAGGCAGCAGUAGGGAAUCUUCCACAAUGGACGAAAGUCUGAUGGAGCAACGCCGCGUGAGUGAAGAAGGGUUUCGGCUCGUAAAACUCUGUUGUUAAAGAAGAACAUAUCUGAGAGUAACUGUUCAGGUAUUGACGGUAUUUAACCAGAAAGCCACGGCUAACUACGUGCCAGCAGCCGCGGUAAUACGUAGGUGGCAAGCGUUGUCCGGAUUUAUUGGGCGUAAAGCGAGCGCAGGCGGUUUUUUAAGUCUGAUGUGAAAGCCUUCGGCUCAACCGAAGAAGUGCAUCGGGAAACUGGGAAACUUGAGUGCAGAAGAGGACAGUGGAAACUCCAUGUGUAGCGGUGAAAUGCGUAGAUAUAUGGAAGAACACCAGUGGCGAAGGCGGCUGUCUGGUCUGUAACUGACGCUGAGGCUCGAAAAGUAUGGGUAGCAAACAGGAUUAGAUACCCUGGUAGUCCAUACCGUAAACGAUGAAUGCUAAGUGUUGGAGGGUUUCCGCCCUUCAGUGCUGCAGCUAACGCAUUAAGCAUUCCGCCUGGGGAGUACGGCCGCAAGGCUGAAACUCAAAGGAAUUGACGGGGGCCCGCACAAGCGGUGGAGCAUGUGGUUUAAUUCGAAGCUACGCGAAGAACCUUACCAGGUCUUGACAUACUAUGCAAAUCUAAGAGAUUAGACGUUCCCUUCGGGGACAUGGAUACAGGUGGUGCAUGGUUGUCGUCAGCUCGUGUCGUGAGAUGUUGGGUUAAGUCCCGCAACGAGCGCAACCCUUAUUAUCAGUUGCCAGCAUUAAGUUGGGCACUCUGGUGAGACUGCCGGUGACAAACCGGAGGAAGGUGGGGAUGACGUCAAAUCAUCAUGCCCCUUAUGACCUGGGCUACACACGUGCUACAAUGGAUGGUACAACGAGUUGCGAACUCGCGAGAGUAAGCUAAUCUCUUAAAGCCAUUCUCAGUUCGGAUUGUAGGCUGCAACUCGCCUACAUGAAGUCGGAAUCGCUAGUAAUCGCGGAUCAGCAUGCCGCGGUGAAUACGUUCCCGGGCCUUGUACACACCGCCCGUCACACCAUGAGAGUUUGUAACACCCAAAGUCGGUGGGGUAACCUUUUAGGAACCAGCCGCCUAAGGUUACAGA